rnacentral:rRNA from 1 species
GUGAGGUAAUAUUGCGCAAUGGACGAAAGUCUGACGCAGCCAUGCCGCGUGCAGGAUGACGGCCCUAUGGGUUGUAAACUGCUUUUGUAUGGGAAUAAACCCUUCUACGUGUAGAAGGCUGAAGGUACCAUAAGAAUAAGCACCGGCUAACUCCGUGCCAGCAGCCGCGGUAAUACGGAGGGUGCAAGCGUUAUCCGGAUUUAUUGGGUUUAAAGGGUCCGUAGGCGGGCCGAUAAGUCAGUGGUGAAAGCCCAUAGCUCAACUAUGGAACUGCCAUUGAUACUGUCGGUCUUGAGUAUAUGUGAUGUUGGCGGAAUGUGUAGUGUAGCGGUGAAAUGCUUAGAUAUUACACAGAACACCGAUUGCGAAGGCAGCUGACAAAUAUAUAACUGACGCUGAGGGACGAAAGUGUGGGGAUCAAACAGGAUUAGAUACCC